CCUGUACCCAGCUGUGUGUCCAUGAAGAGUGACAGGUCUAUGGAUCGUCCUAUAUACUUCAGAGAGGGAGACUUUUCUAGUGAACAAAGUCCAAUCAAGCAGGAGAGACCAGCCUCCCCCUGUACCCAGCUGUGUGUCCAUGAAGAGUGACAGGUCUAUGGAUCGUCCUAUAUACUUCAGAGAGGGAGACUUUUCUAGUGAACAAAGAAACCAAAAGGAGAGAUCAGAGCCAGAGAUUCUCAGUAGUCAGUCUUCCCAGAGUCAUCAAACAGACCUGGCCUCCAUAUUCAGUUUGCUUGAAGAGAAUAUUAUGACAUUUGUGAAGA